CUUUAGUGGCGAACGGGUGCGUAAUACGUGAGAAUCUGCCCUUAGGAGAAGAAUAACUGCUGGAAACGGCUGCUAAAUCUUCAUAUGUCGAGAGAUGAAAUAGCUUAGGCUGCCUAAGGAUGAGCUCACGCCUGAUUAGCUAGUUGGUGAGGUAAUGGCUCACCAAGGCCACGAUCAGUAGCUGGUUUGAGAGAACGAUCAGCCACACUGGGACUGAGACACGGCCCAGACUCCUCCGGGAGGCAGCAGUGAGGAAUUUUCCGCAAUGGGCGAAAGCCUGACGGAGCAAUACCGCGUGAGGGAUGAAGGAUUUUGGUCUGUAAACCUCUUUUCUCAAGAAAGAAGUUCUGACGGUACUUGAGGAAUAAGCAUCGGCUAACUCCGUGCCAGCAGCCGCGGUAAUACGGGGGAUGCAAGCGUUAUCCGGAAUCAUUGGGCGUAAAGCGCCUGUAGGUUGUUUAAUAAGUCUGUUGUUAAAGACUAGGGCUUA
rnacentral:rRNA from 1 species